rnacentral:rRNA from 1 species
CUUUAAAGAGACUGCCGGUGUUAAGCCGGAGAAGGUGGGAUGACGUCAAGUCCUCAUGGCCUUUAUGCCCAGGGCUACACACGUGCUACAAUGGGCGGUACAAAGAGAAGCAACCUCGCGAGGGUGAGCAAAUCUCAAAAAGCCGUUCUCAGUUCGGAUUGAAGUCUGCAACUCGACUUCAUGAAGUCGGAAUCGCUAGUAAUCGCGGAUCAGCAUGCCGCGGUGAAUACGUUCCCGGGCCUU